CGUUACCUAAAUUAUACUUAUACCACGGCUAUGCUGCACACUGCAGUGCUGCUGACUCAACUAAAAUUACGUCUUCAAUUUAACUUAUCAACAUAAUAGUAAAUAGAUAGUUAUUUGACAUCAACAAUUUAUUGACAACAUCAACCUACUAUAACAACGUUGAGUCUCACCAAAAAUAUGGUCAUGAUUUACAAUCCACAAGUAUCUAUACACCUACUCUGUGGGGGAACUUCAUAUAUCUAUGACCCUGCGGUUCAAAUAAUAGCAUUUCCUACUUAGUCAACUGCCUUUUGAUUUCUUUACGGUGAAUAUUCGUGUCCGUUUGUAUAAAGUAAGCAAAAUUAUAUAGAUCUACUCCCAUCUUUAUACGCAGAGAUUAAAUACUGAUCAACUAACCUGCAAAUCACUUGGAUUUCAGCGACAAUCCUGUCUCAGUGUCAGCGAACGAUUCAUCAAGCGUGCGUAGCACUAUGAGAUUGGCAACGUACAUUUCCUCCCCAUCUUCCUUACUCCGAUCUGUUUGAAACGAAAUACGGAUCAGUUAGGCGAAUCAAAUCCAACAAGCAUCAUUACAUAGCUAUUAACUAUCCACCAUAUACCAACCGGCCUCCUCUCUCUUAUCGACCGCCGCUACACACCUGCACCUCGGGCGG
rnacentral:lncRNA from 1 species